ensembl:snoRNA small nucleolar RNA, C/D box 45B
GGUCAGUGAUGUCAUGGCAUGUAUUAGCUGAAUGUGCAGUUGAUGUGAAUUCUGAAAUUACCCUGAGACCUU